GACGCACGAUGGCGGCGUGCCUAAUACAUGCAAGUAGAACGCAGUUGCGAACGGGUGAGUAACGCGUAGGUAACUGCCUCAUAGAGGGGGAUAACUAUUGGAAACGAUAGCUAAUAACGCAUACUGUGAGAUGGAACUGCGUUGUAUUAGAUAGUUGGUGAGGUAAAGGCUCAACAAGGCGACGAUACAUAACCGACCUGAGAGGGUGAUCGGCCAAACUGGGACUGGGACACGGCCCAGACUCCUACGAGAGUCAGCAGUAGGGAAUCUUCGGCAAUGGACGGAAGUCUGACCGUGCACCGCCUCGUGAGGGAAGAAGGUUUUCGGAUCGUAAAGCUCUGUUGUUAGAGAAGCGGUAUCUAACCAGAAAGCCACGGCUAACGACGUGCCAGCCGCCGCGGUAAUAC
rnacentral:rRNA from 1 species